GGGAAAAAGUGCUGAAAUUUUAGUUAAGAUUGAUUCUGUCUUUUACAAUUGGCUAUAAUUUGAUAGUUUUAUAUACAAGUUUUUGCGUGUUAAUUUAUUGUCUUAAUGACAAUUAUUUUUUGUAAUUGUAGUUUUUGAUAUUAAUGUUUUUGGUAACAUAGAUUUAGUUAAUUAAUUAAAGAAUUGUUAAAAAUUGUGCCAGCAUACGCGGUUAUACAAUUAAUUCAAGUUAAUUUUUUUGGUUAGUAUUUAUUUUUUUUUGUUGGGGAUUUAGUUGAUUAUUUAUUAGGUGAAAUUUUAAUUUUAAUUAUAUUCUCUUGGUUAUAGAUUAUAUGAAACUUAGAUUUAAGACU
rnacentral:rRNA from 1 species